UGGUUGAGCCUUAUGGCUCCAAUACUGGGAGACGUGGUCGUAAGACUCCUCGAGAGUCAGACUCUCUUGAGGAGCGAGAGAGGAAACGGCUGCGAGACAUCUUUGCAGAACCAUCUGACGAAGACUCCUUUGAGGGCUUUACUGAGAGAAUGGAGGAAGAGGUGGUUAGCUCAGAGGAGGAUGAUAUGGAAUGGACUCGUGUAAGGGAGGAUUUGGGUGUUCCUGGUAAUGAUAGCAUGGGAAGCGACUGGCGGGUUGCAGGAUCGGACCCGUGGACGAGUUGGAGGGAUGGGACGGGAUCCACAGCUGGGGAUGCUGUGGGGCGUAGUCAAAGAUGUUUUAGCUCUGAUGAGGAUGAUGAUGAUGAGGCACCUGGAAUUAGGGUAACAGCUGAUAGCGAUGAGGAGUUGUAAACUGGCAUAAAAUGGGGUCUUGAAUCCAGGGCUAAUUGUGUUGGGCAAGGUAAUCUGGACAGACGCUUGGGAUCUUGUUGGGAAAUUCCUGAAGACGGGUGUGUUUCGUUUGCUGAAUACCUUGGACCUCCGUCGUCUUCUUGACGGACAUUAUUUACCUACUCGGAAUUGACGCUGGACUGGCUGACUGACUGACUGACUGACUACGAUCUUGGACGACCCUUUCUUUGUCUAUCAGAGGAUUUCGUGGAACCUAAGACGCCUGCACCUGGUAAUCGACCUCGGACCGGAUUGGGACCCCGCUGACCGCUGCAACCCUUGAUUGAUGUGUUUGGACCCGGAGUUCGCCCGCUGCACGGAGGAGUAACAACUUAGUUGCUCAACCACAGCUGUUGAGUAGCAGAGAGGAAUCUGCUGCUAAUAUUUAUGUUCUAUUGAAUCUUUGUUUACCAGCUUUUGUUUGUUUAAGGUCCCAGGCUGAAGUAAGCAUUUUUGGUUUAACCCGGAUUAAACUCCUGUUUAAUCCGGUUUAUCUUUUGAACCGUUUUUGAGUGACUUUUCAUAUUGAAGGCGAGUGUUUGCCUAGCUCUUUGUUUUUUACGAGCAUUUUUGGUUCUGUACCUUUAAUAAACUGUGUUGAAUCUUA